AUCCUGUCCUUGCCCUCUCU
rnacentral:miRNA from 1 species